GACGAACGCUGGCGGCGUGCUUAACACAUGCAAGUCGAACGGAAAGGCCCUGCUUUUGUGGGGUGCUCGAGUGGCGAACGGGUGAGUAACACGUGAGUAACCUGCCCUUGACUUUGGGAUAACUUCAGGAAACUGGGGCUAAUACCGGAUAGGAGCUCCUGCUGCAUGGUGGGGGUUGGAAAGUUUCGGCGGUUGGGAAUGGACUCGCGGCUUAUCAGCUUGUUGGUGGGGUAGUGGCUUACCAAGGCUUUGACGGGUAGCUGGCCUGAGAGGGUGACCGGCCACAUUGGGACUGAGAUACGGCCCAGACUCCUACGGGAGGCAGCAGUGGGGAAUAUUGCACAAUGGGCGGAAGCCUGAUGCAGCAACGCCGCGUGCGGGAUGACGGCCUUCGGGUUGUAAACCGCUUUCGCCUGUGACGAAGCGUGAGUGACGGUAAUGGGUAAAGAAGCACCGGCUAACUACGUG
rnacentral:rRNA from 1 species